rnacentral:rRNA from 1 species
AGAGUUUGAUCCUGGCUCAGGACGAACGCUGGCGGCGCGUCUUAAGCAUGCAAGUCGAACGGCAAGGCAGGUGCUUGCACCUGCCCUAGAGUGGCGGACUGGUGAGUAACACGUGGGUGACAUGCCUUUUAGUUGGGGAUAGCUACUAGAAAUAGUAGAUAAUACCGAAUGUGAUCAAUAUUUAUAGAUGAUGUUGAGGAAAGGAGCCAAGGCUUCGCUAAAAGAUUGGCCCGCGGCCCAUUAGCUUGUUGGUGAGGUAACGGCUCACCAAGACAACGACGGGUAGCGGGACUGAGAGGUUGGCCCGCCAUAUCGGGACUGAGACACUGCCCGGACCUCCACGGAGGGCUGCAGUAACGAAUAUUGGGCAAUGGGCGAAAGCCUGACCCAGCGACGCCGCGUGCAGGAUGAAUCCCCUCGGGGUGUAAACUGCUGUCAGGGAUACGUAAGUGCGCCUUGUGCGCAUUGAACUAGCCCAAAGGAAGUCACGGCUAACUUCGUGCCAGCAGCCGCGGUAAUACGAAGGUGGCUAGCGUUGUUCGGAAUCACUGGGCUUAAAGCGUGCGUAGGCGGAUUAUCAAGUGUCCUUUGAAAUCCCACGGCUCAACCGUGGAACUGGGGGGCAAACUGGUAGUCUUGAGGCAGUUAGGGGUGGGUGGAACUCUUGGUGGAGCGGUGGAAUGCGUAGAUAUCAAGAGGAACGCCAGAGGUGAAACCGACCCACUGGGACUGUCCUGACGCUGAGGUACGAAAGCGUGGGUAGCGAACGGGAUUAGAUACCCCGGUAGUCCACGCUGUAAACGAUGUGUACUAAACCAUGGUGCUCUGACUGCAUCGUGGUUGUAGCAAAAGUAUUAAGUACACCGCCUGGGGAGUACGGUCGCAAGGCUAAAACUCAAAGGAAUUGACGGGGGCUCACACAAGCGGUGGAGCAUGUGGAUUAAUUCGAAGCAACGCGCAGAACCUUACCUGGGUUUGACAUGUUUGGAUGUCUUACCGGAAACGGAUAAGACUGCCUCCUUCGGGAGGUGAAACUUACACAGGUGCUGCAUGGCUGUCGUCAGCUCGUGUCGUGAGAUGUUGGGUUAAGUCCUUAAACGAGCGAAACCCUUACCGUUAGUUACCAUCAGGUUAUGCUGGGGACUCUAGCGGGACUGCCGGUGUUAAACCGGAGGAAGGUGGGGAUGACGUCAAGUCCUCAUGGCCUUUAUGCCCAGGGCUUCACACGUGCUACAAUGGUAAUGACAGAGCGAUGCGAUACCGCGAGGUGGAGCAAAUCGCAUAAACAUUGCCUCAGUUCGGAUUGCAGGCUGACAACUCGCCUGCAUGAAGUUGGAAUCGCUAGUAAUCGCGUAUCAGCUAUGACGCGGUGAAUAUGUUC